rnacentral:tRNA from 1 species
CCUUCGAUAGCUCAGUUCCAUAGCUCAGAGCGGUGGACUGUAGUUGGCAUUCAAUAGCGGUGUAGAGAUCCAUAGGUCGCUGGUUCGAAUCCGGCUCGAAGGA